GAUGAACGCUAGCGGCAGGCUUAACACAUGCAAGUCGAGGGGUAUAGUUCUUCGGAGCUAGAGACCGGCGCACGGGUGCGUAACGCGUAUGCAAUCUACCUUUUGCAGAGGGAUAGCCCAGAGAAAUUUGGAUUAAUACCUCAUGGUAUGUGAGAAUGGCAUCAUUUUCACAUUAAAGUCACAACGGCAAAAGAUGAGCAUGCGUCCCAUUAGCUAGUUGGUAAGGUAACGGCUUACCAAGGCAACGAUGGGUAGGGGUCCUGAGAGGGAGAACCGCCGCACUGGUACUGAGACACGGACCAGACUCCUAAGGGAGGCAGCAGGGAGGAAGAUGGGACAAGGGGCGAAAGCCUGAUCAGGCCAUGCCGCGGGCAGGAGGACGGUCCUAGGGAUUGUAAACUGCUUUUGUACAGGAAGAAACACUGGUUCGUGAACCAGCUUGACGGUACUGUAAGAAUAAGGAUCGGCUAACUCCGUGCCAGCAGCCGCCGUAAAAC
rnacentral:rRNA from 1 species